rnacentral:tRNA from 1 species
UGGUGGCAUCGUCCACAGGGGGCGUCUCGACCCUGUCGCGGUCGAUGAUCGAGGCGGUCGCCCCGCCCGCCAUCGCC